rnacentral:rRNA from 1 species
AUGCAGGGCAUCUUCGCCAACCUCGCCGCCGCACUCGCCAGCGCUGCCCACAACCUCGUCCUGCCGGUAGAGGCGUUCUGGCGCUGGAUAAAGAACGCCGUCGCCGGCGGUAUGGACGGCUUUUGGCCGCUCAUCCAGCGCUUCGUCGCGACGGCCGCGAGCACGGCCCACGAGCUCGUCCCGGCCAUGGAGGCGUUCUGGCGGUGGCUCAAGGACGCCGCCGCCGUCGCGCUCCCCGUCGUGCUGGCCAUCGCCGCGAUCGUUUGCGUCGCCGCCCUAGUCUGGUUCUGGUGGUGGAUUCUGUGCGUCGCCGCCUUCGUGGCCGGCGUGCUGGUCGCGCAAGCGCUCGUCUUCGUCCUCUGCAUCUGCGGGCGGUGCUUGUUCGUCGUCGCCAUGGGGAUCGGGAGUGCGCUCGCCUACCUGCUCCCCAUCUGCGGGCAGUACUGCGCCGACGUUACCAUGGCUGCCCCAGGCGUCGCCGGCGUGCUGAUAUCGCGCGCCGCGUUCAAGGCGGAACCGCAGCUAUACUUCCAGAUCCUCCGUCUGGCUGGCCCUCUCAUCGCCUCUGCUGUCUUCGCCACGAGCCCCCUCCCCUGGGCGGUCGGACUGCCGGUCGUCGCCCUUUUCAGCCGGGGAUUUUCAGGCGGCCAGGAGCCCAUACCGAGGUGGACUCCGGAGGAAGAUCAGAUGUUGAUUCACGAGGAUGAUCAGAUGAGGACACUCGAGGAAGAUCAGCCUAUUAUCAUAGUUGAAUAA